rnacentral:rRNA from 1 species
CCAAUAGCGUAUAUUAAAGUUGCUGCAGUUAAAGAGCUCGUAGUUGAAUUUCGGGACUAAUAUGUCGGUCGUGCCUCGGUACGUACUGGUAUUUUCGGUUUCUCCCUUCUGACGAACCUUGAUGUCAUUAAUUUGGUGUCUUGGGAAAUCAGGACUGUUACUUUGAAAAAAUUAGAGUGUUUAAAGCAGGCUCACGCUUGAAUACAUUAGCAUGGAAUAAUUAAAUAGGACGUUUGAUUCUAUUUUGUUGGUUUCUAGGAUCGACGUAAUGAUUAAUAGGGAUAGUUGGGGGCAUUAGUAUUCAAUUGUCAGAGGUGAAAUUCUUGGGUUUAUUGAAGACUAACUACUGCGAAAGCAUUUACCAAGGAUGUUUUCAUUAAUCAAGAACGAAAGUUAGGGGAUCGAAGACGAUCAGAUACCGUCGUAGUCUUAACCAUAAACUAUGCCGACUAGGGAUCGGAUGAUGUUAAUUUUUUAAUGACUCAUUCGGCGCCUUACG